UUUUCGUAGGUGAACUGCGGAGGGAUCAUAC
rnacentral:rRNA from 1 species